rnacentral:rRNA from 1 species
UGGGGAAUAUUGCACAAUGGGCGCAAGCCUGAUGCAGCCAUGCCGCGUGUAUGAAGAAGGCCUUCGGGUUGUAAAGUACUUUCAGUCGGGAGGAAGGUGUCAAGGUUAAUAACCUUGGCAAUUGACGUUACCGACAGAAGAAGCACCGGCUAACUCCGUGCCAGCAGCCGCGGUAAUACGGAGGGUGCAAGCGUUAAUCGGAAUUACUGGGCGUAAAGCGCACGCAGGCGGUUGAUUGAGUCAGAUGUGAAAUCCCCGGGCUCAACCUGGGAACUGCAUCUGAUACUGGCAAGCUUGAGUCUUGUAGAGGGGGGUAGAAUUCCAGGUGUAGCGGUGAAAUGCGUAGAGAUCUGGAGGAAUACCGGUGGCGAAGGCGGCCCCCUGGACAAAGACUGACGCUCAGGUGCGAAAGCGUGGGGAGCAAACAGG